UGUGUCCUGAAGGAAGUCCCUCUUCCCGAACUCCAGAUCGGCGACUGGUUCUACUUUGAGAACCUGGGCGCCUACUCUAUCAGUCUCCAGUCACGGUUCAACGGAAUGCCGGUGCCCGAGUGUCAUUACAUGUGUGAUGAAGAUGUCUGGAAAACAGUUUUGAAGCAAAGACAGAAACCGAUGAAUGGACAUCGUUCUGAAAGUACAGUAACAUCCUCCAGUUUCCUCUCCUGAUUCCCAGCCGAUCUAGAUUGAUGUUUGACUUGAUCUGGUCGUCCUAUUUAUGGAAACGACGCUCAUGAUAAUAUUCAAAUAAUACCGGUUCUACUUUUAGUACGGAAUUAACAAUCUUGUAGUACGAAAA